rnacentral:rRNA from 1 species
AUUGAACGCUGGCGGAAUGCUUUACACAUGCAAGUCGAACGGCAGCACGGACUUCGGUCUGGUGGCGAGUGGCGAACGGGUGAGUAAUGUAUCGGAACGUGCCCAGUCGUGGGGGAUAACGUAGUGAAAAUUACGCUAAUACCGCAUACGAUCUAUGGAUGAAAGCGGGGGAUCGCAAGACCUCGCGCGAUUGGAGCGGCCGAUAUCAGAUUAGGUAGUUGGUGGGGUAAAGGCCCACCAAGCCAACGAUCUGUAGCUGGUCUGAGAGGACGACCAGCCACACUGGAACUGAGACACGGUCCAGACUCCUACGGGAGGCAGCGGUGGGGAAUUUUGGACAAUGGGCGAAAGCCUGAUCCAGCCAUUCCGCGUGCAGGAUGAAGGCCCUCGGGUUGUAAACUGUUUUUGUACAGAACGAAAAGGUUUCUACUAAUACUAGGAGCUCAUGACGGUACUGUAAGAAUAAGCACCGGCUAACUACGUGCCAGCAGCCGCCGUAA